ACCUAUGCAUCGUAGUCAUUCUGUUGGAGCAAACCGUGAGAAAAAGAGAGAGAGAGUGAGAGUUCAACAUGUUUUUGCUGGAAAAUUCAACUCUAGAGAGAGAGAUCAAGAAAUUGAAGACAAGGGGAAGAAACUCAAAGCUUUAUCAAGAGACUCAACAAAUUGAAGACUUUAGGUUGGGCAUCCGAGGAGUUAUAUUUCAUGUCAAGCCCACUGUGAGCAACUGGAAGAUUGGCAUUCGAGUUUGCCUCGGAGUCAGCCCCUUUGUGAAGCCACCCAAGCAGUGCCUCCGUAUUGACGCUUUAGCUUUGUUUUGUCAGAGUUUUAUAUUUUGAUAAAGUCUUAUGUGUGUGUGAGAUAUGUAUAAGAUAUGUCCUUGUAUAUGCAAUAUGAAUGUUUUAAUUAUUUAAGUCUAUCAUG